UUGCUUGCUGCAUCUUCAGCUUGUUUGACCAAAGCAGUACCUUCAGCAGUAACAUGCUGCUUAAAUAUACUGGAAACAGGAUCUAAGCCUCGAGGAAUUUUGGAAAAGAGCCUAAACAUUCGCGAUAAAUCCUCCACCUUGUCAUCUCUAAGCAAUGCAUGACAUCCAGAGUGUUCCUUUUCAAGCAGUUGGUUUGCAUAUACAGCCAGCAACUCAUGUUGAACUUUCUCCAGCAACUUUGGCUCACUGCUAGAAUGCAAGUAGUGAGAAACCCUAUCUUUCUCCCGCUUUAGACAUUCCUCAGCUUUUAACAUAUAAUCAGGACAAGAAUCUUCUAGAAUCCAGUUGGAUGCCUUCCGAGAAUAAUAAGCAGCUGUAUCUUUAAGCAUUGCCGCUUCAAAGUCAUUCUCAUAGUAAUCCAUCUGCCCCAUUCCAAUUUCAACAAAUAUAUCCAAAACAUUUUUUAAUAAAGCUCGGUCAAUCUGCUCUCCCUCACGCUCCUGGUCAAUCAGAGAAAUUACAGCAUCCCUCACUUUACCAUUUAACUCCUGGUA
rnacentral:misc_RNA from 1 species